CAUAGCUCAGCAGGAUAGAGCAUUCGAUUCCUAAUCGAAAGGUCAUUGGUUCGAAUCCAAUUGG
rnacentral:tRNA from 1 species